GAUGAACGCUGGCGGCGUGCCUAAUACAUGCAAGUCGAGCGAACGGACGAGAAGCUUUCUUCUCUGAUGUUAGCGGCGGACGGGUGAGUAACACGUGGAUAACCUACCUAUAAGACUGGGAUAACUUCGGGAAACCUGAGCUAAUACCGGAUGAUAUUUUGAACCGCAUGGUUCAAAAGUGAAAGACGGUCUUGCUGUCACUUAUAGAUGGAUCCGCGCUGCAUUAGCUAGUUGGUAAGGUAACGGCUUACCAAGGCAACGAUGCAUAGCCGACCUGAGAGGAUGAUCGGCCACACUGGAACUGAGACACGGUCCAGACUCCUACGGGAGGCAGCAGUAGGGAAUCUUCCGCAAUGGGCGAAAGCCUGACGGAGCAACGCCGCGUGAGUGAUGAAGGUCUUCGGAUCGUAAAACUCUGUUAUUAGGGAAGAACAUAUGUGUAAGUAAAUGUGCACAUCUUGACGGUACCUAAUCAGAAAGCCACGGCUAACUACGUG
rnacentral:rRNA from 1 species